rnacentral:rRNA from 1 species
GCCGUAGGGCGCGCGCGUUGUCCGGAUUUAUUGGGCGUCAAGAGCUCGUAGGCGGCUUGUCGCGUCGUCCGUGAAAACUUGGGGCUCAACCCCAAGCUUGCGGUCGAUACGGGCAGGCUAGAGUUCGGUAGGGGAGACUGGAAUUCCUGGCGUAGCGGUGAAAUGCGCAGAUAUCAGGAGGAACACCGGUGGCGAAGGCGGGUCUCUGGGCCGAUACUGACGCUGAGGAGCGAAAGCGUGGGGAGCGAACAGG